rnacentral:rRNA from 1 species
GUCCCUACGGGACGCAGCAGUAGGGAAUCUUCCACAAUGGACGAAAGUCUGAUGGAGCAACGCCGCGUGAGUGAAGAAGGGUUUCGGCUCGUAAAGCUCUGUUGGUAGGGAAGAAAGAUAGAGGUAGUAACUGGCCUUUAUUUGACGGUAAUUACUUAGAAAGUCACGGCUAACUACGUGCCAGCAGCCGCGGUAAUACGUAGGGAGCGAGCGUUGUCCGGGUUUUUUGGGGGUAAAGGGUGGGGAGGCGGCUUGGCAAGUCAGUAGUGAAAUCCCUGGGCUUAAACCAUGAACUGC